UGGGGAAUAUUGCACAAUGGGCGCAAGCCUGAUGCAGCCAUGCCGCGUGUAUGAAGAAGGCCUUCGGGUUGUAAAGUACUUUCAGCGGGGAGGAAGGGAGUAAAGUUAAUACCUUUGCUCAUUGACGUUACCCGCAGAAGAAGCACCGGCUAACUCCGUGCCAGCAGCCGCGGUAGUACGGAGGGUGCAAGCGUUAAUCGGAAUUACUGGGCGUAAAGCGCACGCAGGCGGUUUGUUAAGUCAGAUGUGAAAUCCCCGGGCUCAACCUGGGAAAUGCAUCUGAUACUGGCAAGCUGGAGUCUCGUAGAGGGGGGUAGAAUUCCAGGUGUAGCGGUGAAAUGCGUAGAGAUCUGGAGGAAUACCGGUGGCGAAGGCGGCCCCCUGGACGAAGACUGACGCUCAGGUGCGAAAGCGUGGGGAGCAAACAGG
rnacentral:rRNA from 1 species